rnacentral:pre_miRNA from 1 species
UGAUGAUGAUGAUGAUGAUGAUGAUGAUGAUGAUGAUGAUGAUGAUGAUGAUAAUAGCAGCAACAGUAAUAAUAAUCCUCAUCAUUUUCAUCAUCAUCAUCAUCAUUAUUUAAC